rnacentral:rRNA from 1 species
CCGGCGACCGGCGGACGGGUGCGUAACGCGUAUGUAACCUACCUUUGACAGGGGGAUAACAUCGAGAAAUUGGUACUAAUACCCCAUAACAUCACCGGAGGCAUCUUCGGUGGUUGAAAACUCAGGUGGUCAGAGAUGGACAUGCAUUGUAUUAGCUAGUUGGUGAGGUAACGGCUCACCAAGGCGACGAUACAUAGGGGGACUGAGAGGUCAACCCCCCACAUUGGUACUGAGACACGGACCAAACUCCUACGGGAGGCAGCAG